UGAUGUUGUUUUUCUGAGAAGCCUCCAGGCAGAAGGGACACAAGACACCUUCCCCUUGGGGCUCCUUCUGCAGUGAAUUGGUGCAGCUGAGGCAGAAGACACAUUCACACUCCAAGGACAUUGGCUUUUCUAGACAUCUGAGAAGGAAAAGCAAAGCACACAGAUGUGGACUCACCUCUUCCGCUGAAAUCUUUGUACGCCAUCCUCUUCCACCAAGAGCUCAGGUAUGGUGGGGAAAGGGCAUAGGAG
rnacentral:lncRNA from 1 species